rnacentral:rRNA from 1 species
UACGAAGGGGGCUAGCGUUGCUCGGAAUCACUGGGCGUAAAGGGUGCGUAGGCGGGUCUUAAGUCAGGGGUGAAAUCCUGGAGCUCAACUCCAGAAUUGCCUUUGAGACUGCAUCGCUUGAACGUCGGAGAGGUGAGUGGAAUUCCGAGUGUAGAGGUGAAAUUCGUAGAUAUUCGGAAGAACACCAAGUGGCGAAGGCGGCUCACUGGACGACUGUUGACGCUGAGGUGCGAAAGCGUGGGGAGCAAACAGG